AAAAGCUUUUAAUAAUCGAUCCAUCAUCGCCAGGUGUUACCAUCUUCAUUAUCCCUGUAAAAAUAAACUUAAUAUUUUUGGGACCUCUAUCUUUAGUGUUAAGAUAAUUAAUUGUAGGACAUUUAUGUUUAGAGGAGAUAAUUAUGUAUAUUGCCAGUGAUGCAGAAAAGGUGGAAAAAGUUUUACCUUUAUUCCAUAUUCCAUAUUGCCAAUGAUCAUUUCGCGCCUAAGCGCAUCAUCAGGGCGUAGAUACCGUAAAUACAUCGCAUUGGGGAAACGAUUGUUACAAAUAUAAAAAUUAUUAAAAUGUUUAAUAACUUUUUUCGCACAAUACGCAUAAAAAGUAUCCUGUAGAACACUUCUUUCAACUAACAUAAUGAAUGACAAAUGAUCAAAACCAAGAUUCGGCAGACGCGUGAUAUUGGUGUUACCUCAGGGCGCAUUCCGAAUCCGACUGUUUACGUGAUAUUAGUCAUUUUCCAUCAAACUGUAUCCAAGAUCUGCUGCAACAGUUAUGCUGUUAUCCUCUUGCUUCAGCUAUUAUCUUUUCUGUUGGGUUUUCUAUGAUUUGUUUGAUAUUUUCUGAAGCUGCUAUUUUUGCUUGCUUGCAAAAGGGUGAAAAAAAAUAAAAAAAUUGGAUACACUACAUCACAGGGCUUGUGGUGUUUGCGCCUUUCCUAGUGGCCCGUUUUUUUUUUGCGAAGAAAGAAGAGGAUAAAUGCCCAAUUAAAAUUGGAGAUCCAACCAAAAGAUACCUACGCGUAAAAAACCUUUACAAAAAACAAUUUGCAUAUUGAAUUGUUAACAACUUAAGUCAUAUUUUGUUUGAUGCAACAACUAGGAACAUCUUGUAACAAUCACAUUUUGUUCGGAUGUUCCUUCUGUUAAGGGGCGUGGCCUAUUUUUAUUCGAUUAUUAUUUCUGCACAAUUUGGCAACGUUUUCGCAACAUUGUUUUGAAACAAUUGGAAUGCCUUCGGAGCUUGUUACAACUAUUGUUUGUUGUAUCGUUAGGUUGGUACUGUAAGCAGGGAGAUUAGCCCCUGCUAGGGUGACAGCCCUGCUUGGGGCAAUUGUACUUGUUAUCAAUAUAUUCUGUUCGUCCUGUUCA